rnacentral:lncRNA from 1 species
GAUUUCGGCUGGAUUAAAGAAAGAAUUUACAGACAUUAAGGGCUGUUUCUUAUUGGAAUGGAUUAUCAAAAAAUGAUCAGAGUCUUGUUCUAGAUUAGGGUUCUUAAUGGUUUUUUUUUUUUCUGUUGUGGAUACUUCUGACAAUCUAAAUAAGAUUACAGACUCUUUCUCAAAAUAACAUAGGAUUCUUGUUUUGUUUACUCCUGAGACUGGGUUUCCCUCUCUCACCUAGACUGGAAGUGAAGUUGUCAGUCACAGACUAAUUAAAGCAUGGGGGUUAUAGAUAAUGGGCUCUGCUUUUCAGAUUAAGGCUACUUCUCCCUUCCAUAGACAACUGAUAGCGCUAAGAGGGGAGGGAGGGAGGAAGGGAGGGAAAUAGAAGAGAGAAAGAAGAUGAAAGAAAGAAAGAAAGAGAAAGAAAGAAGGGAGGGAGGGAAGGAAGGAAGGAAGGAAGGAAGGAAGGAAGGAAGGAAGGAAGGAAGGAAGGAAGGAAGGAAAGAAGGAAGGAAAGAAAGAGAAAGAAAAAAGGAGAAAGAAAGAAAGAAAAGAGAGAGAGGAAGGGAGGAAAAAUGAGAGGAAAUAUUUCAUAUUUAAGCACUGGUUUGAUGAUGAGCAUGAUAUCAUAAAAGAGCAAAGAAGAAAACCGUGAAGGGAACAGCUUUAGUCGAACACUGCUGAUCCUCUGAUUUUAUCACAUUUAAUUGUUUUGAUAUUUUUAAAAAACGUGCAGUGCGCCCAGUAAAUGGUGUUUGACCACACAAGAACACCUCCAGUCUAGCUGUGCAGACCCUGGUAAGAUGCUGCCUCCUUGUGGUUCGCAUUGGGAAUAACAUGAGAACUCCCCAAAUCAUACAUCCCAAUGAAUGAAUUCCUAGGAAGAAAACCAUGGAACCUAUGCAUUUGUAGACACUGUAGAGAAGAAGAAUGGAGUAUUCACGCGACAUUUUCUUUCUCUUUAUUUAUCAGUUAUUUACUUAUUCUGGAAGAGAGAUGGCCGAUGAAGGUGGAUCUUGGGUCAAAGGAUCUCUGCUCAAAUGCCAUUUGCAGGCAGAACUUCUGAAGGCUCAGAGCCAUUUCCACACCAGGAUGAAGGAUUAGGUGGGACUUCAGAACAACCAGCGACACUGUGAAAAUAAAUCUGAACGAUCAAAGAACCUGCAUAAAUAGUUAGGCUGGAAUGUAGAGUGUAAAAACAGAGAAGUGGGCUAGACAGAAAUUGUGGAAUGGCUCAAUAAAUCAUGGGGUGUGAAUAUAAUGUAUAUAAUGAGAAAUGACCAGCAUGAGGAAUAUUCAGAGGAGCUUAAAAAGACUUGGACAAACUGAAGAAAAGUGACGUCCAGUGAGCAAGAAAACAAAAAACAGUAACUAAAUGGAAAGAAUUGCCACCAUGAAUGUUGGAAAAUGAUAAAGUACAAGCUCUGCCCCAAAGAAGACAGAUAAGAAAACAUCUCCUCCCACUAUUUUGAAUUGGUAUGGAGUGGAUAAGUGAGGAAUUUUGCCUGUAUUGGGGAUUUUGCUAGGAAGUUGAUUUUCACCUUUUUUUCCCUUCUUAAAAAAGUUUUUUGAUAGACAAGAGAGUUUUCUGUUAGAAAAUGGGAAGAGAAGAAUACAAGGAAAAUUCAAGCUCUGUAAAAACAAAAAGAUACAAAUAAAAACUUAUUUUAAAAAUAAAAUUAUUAAGAGAGUUGUGCUAAAACCAGGUUGUGAAGUGCUUAAAAUCCCAGAAUGGGACAUUUUGAUCUUGGAUGUAAUAAAGAGGCACUGAAGACUUUUAAGCAGAUGUGUGAUAUGGUAAGAUAUAACAUCACUAAGAGAGAGUAUAAAUAUAAAAGAUGAUUCAUGGUAGAAGUUUACAGAACAACCCAUGCUAGGAAAUGUAAUGGCUUGAGUUGAUGCACUGAGGUCCCAAGCAUGUGAGGCUAAAUAGUAAUUGGACCAUAUUCUACUAAUAUAUAUGCUUGGAGAAAGAAUGGCCCCCGCCCACUCUUUGUGCAAGUUCUGAUGUGUUGUAUAGGAAAUGACAUAGAGAGACCAUUUGUGGAGAGAGAGGGGCUGAGAGAGAGGCAGAGAGACUGCUGGCCGGGUUCAUGUUGCAGCCGCUCACAUUCCUAUUGCCAUCCCCCUUCACCUCCACAAAGAAUAAAGAUGGAAGAUUUUCCCUUAACCUGAAUUCCUGACUCCGGCUGAUUUUAAAAUAUGUGGUCAUCACAAGGAAAUAGUAGAAUAAUGAUGAAACAGUGAAGAAAACUGAGAUUGAUAAGGUACAGUGAUACAAAUAAGAGAAGAAACAGAAAACAUAGUCAAAGGAAAAUGAUUCAAAGGGGAGGGAAGAGGGGGCAGUCAGUAAUAUCAAAAGAUGGAGAGGUCAAAAAGAAAAUGGACUGAGGAAAAGGGCACUGGUAUCAUUGUUAAUAGAUUAUGAGUAAAAUUAUUUCUUUUUAAAAAUGAUUCUCCCCAUUGGCUCAAGCUGUGGUGUAUGAAUAUAAUGGAAUAUUAUUGUGCUAUAAAAAAUGCUGAGCAGGUUGAUUUCUGAAACACCUGGAAAGAUUUACAUAAACUGAAAAGUGAAAAACCAGGAGAACCCUGCAUAUAGUAAUGGCCUCUGUCUUCCACAGGCAGAACUUCUGAAGACUUAGAGCCAUUUCCACACCAGGAUGAGGCACUGGACUGGACUCUGUGGUGAUCAACGUUGAGAGACUUAGCUUUUCUCAUCAAUACAAUAAUCCAAGAUAAUUCCAAAAGACUUAGGAUAGAAAAUGCUAUCCACAUCUAGAGAAAGAACCACAGAGUCUGAAUGCAUAUGGAAACAUACUAUUUUCACUUUAAAAUUUUUUUGUGUGUUUUUUUCCCUUUUGUUCUGUUGCUUCUUUCAU